GCAAAAAGUAGUUAGAUCAUAUCUUGGUGCAUAGAUUAAGGAGAAACAAGUGUUGGAUUCUGCCUUAAUAAAAAUUAAGGGUAGCGUUGGUAAGCAAAAGGUGGUGGAUUUUGAGAUUAGUGGUGAUGGUACUUUGCAGCCCCAAGGGAGUUUGUGUAUUCUUGAUAUUCAUAAUUUGCGACAAAUAAUCUUUGUUGAGGCGCAUGAGUCGCAAUAUGUUGUCCAUCCUACUUCUACUAA
rnacentral:lncRNA from 1 species